rnacentral:rRNA from 1 species
GUGGAUUAGAUACCCUGGUAGUCCACGCCGUAAACGAUGUCAACUAGAUGUAGGGGGUGUUGAUCCCUUCUGUGUCGCAGCUAACGCAUUAAGUUGACCGCCUGGGGAGUACGGUCGCAAGAUUAAAACUCAAAGGAAUUGACGGGGGCCCGCACAAGCGGUGGAGUAUGUGGUUUAAGUCGAUGCAACGCGAAGAACCUUACCUGGUCUUGACAUCCCGGGAAUCUUUAGGAAACUAGAGAGUGCCUUCAUUAGAAGGAGCCUGGAGACAGGUGCUGCAU